UGUUGCCAUCCUCGCAGCGCGGGGGCGAAAAGGGACACACAGAGCCCUUCCCGGCUGUGGACAGGAGCUGCCUCGGCUGAAGCUGGAGAUGCCAACGAAAGGUAAAGCAGAAGAAACUGAAGGCGCUCUGGCUGCCAGCUGCCUUCCUGCCGCAGGCAAGAGAGAGCCUGUCCCUGCAGGUGAGGGAGGGAGGAUCCCCCUUCGUAGCCCGCAGCGGGCCAGGCCACCAACGUGCACCGCAGGGUGGAGGACGGCCUAGAGUCUGGAGCUGCAGAAGAGGCAGGGCGGAGAGGAGGGGAAAGAAGCAUCUGAACGGCUAAAUUGUGCCAGCAGCGCUGAGAGCGAGAGUCGCGAGACCGUGCUGAGGACGUGGUUGUCUGUCCUUCCCCCGGGGAUGCCGUUGACUGCAGCCGUCUCAGGCUUGCGUGGCUUCUCUCUGCCCGGUGUUGCCAUCCUCGCAGCGCGGGGGCGAAAAGGGACACACAGAGCCCUUCCCGGCUGUGGACAGGAGCUGCCUCGGCUGAAGCUGGAGAUGCCAACGAAAGGUAAAGCAGAAGAAACUGAAGGCGCUCUGGCUGCCAGCUGCCUUCCUGCCGCAGGCAAGAGAGAGCCUGUCCCUGCAGGUGAGGGAGGGAGGAUCCCCCUUCGUAGCCCGCAGCGGGCCAGGCCACCAACGUGCACCGCAGGGUGGAGGACGGCCUAGAGUCUGGAGCUGCAGAAGAGGCAGGGCGGAGAGGAGGGGAAAGAAGCAUCUGAACGGCUAAAUUGUGCCAGCGGCGCUGAGAGCGAGAGUCGCGAGACCGUGCUGAGGACGUGGUUGUCUGUCCUUCCCCCGGGGAUGCCAUUGACUGCGGCCGUCUCAGGCUUGCGUGGCUUCUCUCUGCCCGGUGUUGCCAUCCUCGCAGCGCGGGGGCGAAAAGGGACACACAGAGCCCUUCCCGGCUGUGGACAGGAGCUGCCUCGGCUGAAGCUGGAGACGCCAA